CCUACGGGUGGCAGCAGUAGGGAAUCUUCCACAAUGGACGCAAGUCUGAUGGAGCAACGCCGCGUGAGUGAAGAAGGGUUUCGGCUCGUAAAGCUCUGUUGGUAGUGAAGAAAGAUAGAGGUAGUAACUGGCCUUUAUUUGACGGUAAUUACUUAGAAAGUCACGGCUAACUACGUGCCAGCAGCCGCGGUAAUACGGGGGAUGCAAGCGUUAUCCGGAUUUAUUGGGUUUAAAGGGUGCGUAGGCUGUGAGGUAAGUCAGCGGUGAAAUGCCCCCGCUCAACGGGGUGAAGUGCCAUUGAUACUGCCUUGCUGGAAUGCGGAUGCCGUGGGAGGAAUGUGUGGUGUAGCGGUGAAAUGCAUAGAUAUCACACAGAACACCGAUUGCGAAGGCAUCUCACGAAGCCGCGAUUGACGCUGAUGCACGAAAGCGUGGGUAUCAAACAGGAUUAGAUACCCCAGUAGUC
rnacentral:rRNA from 1 species